CCUACGGGAGGCAGCAGUGGGGAAUAUUGCGCAAUGGGCGAAAGCCUGACGCAGCGACGCCGCGUGAGGGAUGAAGGUCUUCGGAUCGUAAACCUCUGUCAGCAGGGAAGAACGGUCACUGUGCUAAUCAGCAGUGAAUUGACGGUACCUGCAAAGGACGCACCGGUUAACUCCGUGCCAGCAGCCGCGGUAAGACGGAGGGUGCGAGCGUUAAUCGGAAUUACUGGGCGUAAAGCGCUCGUAGGCGGUAUGUCAAGUCAAGGGUGAAAUCUCCGCGCUCAACGUGGGAACUGCCUUUGAAACUGGCAAACUGGAGUGGGUGAGAGGAUAGUGGAAUGCCAGGUGUAGGAGGGAAAUCCGUAGAUAUCGGGAGGAACAUCAGUGGCGAAGGCGACUAUCUGGCACAUAACUGACGCUGAGGAGCGAAAGCGUGGGUAGCAAACAGGAUUAGAUACCCGGGUAGUC
rnacentral:rRNA from 1 species